rnacentral:tRNA from 1 species
GAGGACUUGACUUAAUUAAAGUGUUUGAUUUGCAUUCAGUUGAUGUAAGAUAUAGUCUUGCAGUCCUUG